rnacentral:rRNA from 1 species
UACGUAGGUGGCAAGCGUUGUCCGGAUUUACUGGGCGUAAAGAGCGCGCAGGCGGUCGUUCAAGUCGCGUGUGAAAGCCCCCGGCUCAACUGGGAGGGUCACGCGAUACUGAUCGACUCGAAGGCAGGAGAGGGAAGUGGAAUUCCCGGUGUAGUGGUGAAAUGCGUAGAUAUCGGGAGGAACACCAGUGGCGAAGGCGACUUCCUGGCCUGUUCUUGACGCUGAGGCGCGAAAGCUAGGGGAGCAAACGGG